AAGAUGACAGUUUUAUGUGACUAAAUUUAUGACUCUAUGACUCAGACCAGGAGUUGUUUCUUUGGUUGGUAAGGCUAAGUCCCAACCUCAGACCCUCUGGGGCCGAGGUUAUAGAAUGACUAUUGUACAGAUGGAACAAGAGUGGGAAAUAGUCCCAGGCAGGGAAUGGCAUCUCCAUUUCAUGAUGAACUUCCUGUCACAUUUUAUUUCCCAGGUUGUGAACUCUUCACGGGCAAAGAUGGGAUCUGAUUGUCAUUCAAAACGCAGUGCCUAAUUCAAUGCCUGGCACAUUGUCCGGUGAAUGAACUUAUUAACCCACAACAAAAUGUAACUGCAGGAGAGACCAGAAUAUU
rnacentral:lncRNA from 10 species